GACGAACGCUGGCGGCGUGCUUAACACAUGCAAGUCGAGCGGUAAGGCCCUUUCGGGGGUACACGAGCGGCGAACGGGUGAGUAACACGUGGGUGACCUGCCCUCAGCUCUGGGAUAAGCCUGGGAAACCGGGUCUAAUACUGGAUAUGACUCCAUGACGCAUGUUGUGGGGUGGAAAGCCUUGUGCGGCUGAGGAUGGGCCCGCGGCCUAUCAGCUUGUUGGUGGGGUGANGGCCUACCAAGGCGACGACGGGUAGCCGGCCUGAGAGGGCGACCGGCCACACUGGGACUGAGACACGGCCCAGACUCCUACGGGAGGCAGUAGUGGGGAAUCUUGCGCAAUGGGCGAAAGCCUGACGCAGCGACGCCGCGU
rnacentral:rRNA from 1 species